GACAUAUGUAAUAAAGAGAUACGUAAGUUGGAGAAAGCUACAGUUUGUCUCACCAGAGUCUACAAGGUUUGUUAUAUUUCUCAUUUCGGUUGAUGGAGUCUCCAUAUGCGAUAUGUUGCAUGUCUCCUCUAGUUCCUUUUGCUUCUUGAAGAAAAGUUCUUUGGUUCUGCUUGCUUUGAGUUGAUCUAGUCUCUGGACUUCAGCCUCAGACUUGGGAAAAAAAAUUCACGAAAGAAAAGUCAGUCAACAUCAUCUAUCACUGGAGCACACACAUCUGAUGGAGCGAAUGACAAUAAAUCAAUGACGUGAGAAAACUUUUGACGAUCUUCAUAAGAUGCAUCCAUUAGAUUCCACAGGUUGGAUAAAGCUCUACCAAGAUGGUGAAGCUGCCAUUUGUAAAAGUUCGGAACUGCUUCACUCUCUCGUCUUUCCUUAGCCUCAUCUCACGCAGUGCAGGCGCGAUAGAAUCCAGCUGCUCUCUCAAUGUUCCUCCCUUUUUCUCCGGCUGUGUAGAGAAUAUAACAACAAAGUUAUCUGUGAUAUGUUAUCUGCAAAUGUACUGAUCUUUCACCGAGGCACAAAAGAAAGUGAGUGAGUUCGGCUUCAGAUUCUGCCAGCUCUUGAUGUAGACGAGACCUCGAAACAUUGGCCUGGUCAACUUUUCUCCGGUUUUGCUUUGAAGACAAGUGUGAAAGUGACACAUACUCUUCUACAGAAGCUUCCAGUUUAAGUGAAGGCUCAUCCGCAUCUCCCUCCUCUUUUGAUUCUUCAGUUUUAGGUCUCUUUCUCUUUCUCUCACUCAACUUCAUCUGAAUUUGGUAAAGUUUAGGAGUCGCUUUUGUGCUGAUGCGUUUGCUUCUGCUGUAUGAAAAGCCAGAGGGAGAUGUUUUUUUUUUUUAUAUAUACCAUACAAAACUUGAUUCCUAAGCAAAACCUCUAGUGCUAACUUUUUACUUAUCAAGAUCGACUGAGUGAUUCUUCACCAUGUGCUUCUUACAAAGUAAGCUUCUUCUUGUUCUUACAAAGUAAGAUAUAGAGAUGCUCUCAUUCUCAUAUGAUUAAUUUGAUUUCUUCAAGUAACUUGCCUUUUUCAUAUUAACAUAAGUGAUAAGUAUUCUGAUUUUCUUUCGCAGUGUGACUACCAAAUCUUGAAAAUGUAAAAGUUUGAAGAAUAUUUGGGGCUACACUAAGAAAAAGAACUUCGAAGCUCUUUUAUAUUGUUGUAUCAAACUAGUGAAAAUUUAUUUAUGAAGACUCCUUGUGACCAUAUUGACCAAUAAGUUUUUUUUUUUUGUUUUGUUUUGAGUAAGAUGGAUGUCUUUAAAUACCAGAUCAACCUGUCCUUGCAUAGCAUACUAAGCUGCCCUUGCGUAUUUCUGUUUGUG